rnacentral:rRNA from 1 species
GACGAACGCUGGCGGCGUGCUUAACACAUGCAAGUCGAACGGUGAAGCGCCUUCCUUUUUGGUGGGUGUGGAUGAGUGGCGAACGGGUGAGUAACACGUGAGUAACCUGCCCCCUUCUUCUGGAUAACCGCAUGAAAGUGUGGCUAAUACGGGAUAUUCUGUGUCUGUCGCAUGAUGGGUCUGGGAAAGAUAUUGUUUCGGUGGGGGAUGGGCUCGCGGCCUAUCAGCUUGUUGGUGUGGUGAUGGCCUACCAAAGCGGUGACGGGGAGACGGCUUGAGAGGGUGAACGGGUUCAUGGGGACUACGAAACGGACCAUACUCAGAUGGGAGGCAGAAGUGGGGAAUAGGGGACAAUGGGGGCAAGCCUGAUGCAGCGACGCCGGGUGAGGGAUGGAGGCCUGCGGGUUGUGAACUUCUUUCGCGAGUGAAGCAGGCCUGCCUCGUUUGUGGGUGGGUUGACGGUAGCUGGAGAAGAAGCUCCGGCUAACUACGUG